rnacentral:rRNA from 1 species
UCCGGAGGGGGCUAGCGUUGUUCGGAAUUACUGGGCGUAAAGCGCGCGUAGGCGGAUGUUCAAGUCGGGGGUGAAAUCCCGGGGCUCAACCCCGGAACUGCCUCCGAUACUGGACGUCUGGAGGACGGGAGAGGCGAGUGGAAUGCCGAGUGUAGAGGUGAAAUUCGUAGAUAUUCGGCGGAACACCCGUGGCGAAGGCGGCUCGCUGGUCCGUUUCUGACGCUGAGGCGCGAAAGCGUGGGGAGAAAACGGG